rnacentral:rRNA from 1 species
AUACGCUGGCGGCGUGCUUACACCUGCAGUUAACGAACUUCGGGUUAGUGGCGGACGGGUGAGUAACGCGUGAGAAUCUGCCCUCAGGAGGGGGAUAACAGCUGGAAACGGCUGCUAAUACCCCAUAUGCCGCGAGGUGAAAUGAAUUUCGCCUGAGGAUGAGCUCGCGUCUGAUUAGCUAGUUGGUGUAGGUAAUGGCUCACCAAGGCAUCGAUCAGUAGCUGGUCUGAGAGGAUGAUCAGCCACACUGGGACUGAGACACGGCCCAGACUCCUACGGGAGGCAGCAGUGGGGAAUUUUCCGCAAUGGGCGAAAGCCUGACGGAGCAACGCCGCGUGAGGGAUGAAGGCCUCUGGGCUGUAAACCUCUUUUAUCAAGGAAGAAGAUCUGACGGUACUUGAUGAAUAAGCCACGGCUAAUUCCGUGCCAGCAGCCGCGGUAAUACGGGAGUGGCAAGCGUUAUCCGGAAUUAUUGGGCGUAAAGCGUCCGCAGGCGGCCCUUCAAGUCUGCUGUUAAAAAGUGGAGCUUAACUCCAUCAUGGCAGUGGAAAC